GCGUGCAGGACGAAGGCCUUCGGGUUGUAAACUGCUUUUGUACGGAGCGAAACGGGAUGUACUAAUACUAUGUCCUAAUGACGGUACCGUAAGAAUAAGCACCGGCUAACUACGUGCCAGCAGCCGCGGUAAUACGUAGGGUGCGAGCGUUAAUCGGAAUUACUGGGCGUAAAGCGUGCGCAGGCGGUUAUAUAAGACAGAUGUGAAAUCCCCGGGCUCAACCUGGGAACUGCAUUUGUGACUGUAUAGCUAGAGUACGGUAGAGGGGGAUGGAAUUCCGCGUGUAGCAGUGAAAUGCGU
rnacentral:rRNA from 1 species